rnacentral:rRNA from 1 species
UACAGAGGUCCCGAGCGUUGUUCGGAUUCACUGGGCGUAAAGGGUGCGUAGGUGGCUUUGCAAGUCUGAUGUGAAAUCUCCGGGCUCAACCCGGAAAUGGCAUUAGAAACUGUGAGGCUGGAGGCUUGGAGGGGGAACUGGAAUUCUCGGUGUAGCAGUGAAAUGCGUAGAGAUCGAGAGGAACACCAGUGGCGAAGGCGAGUUCCUGGACAAGUCCUGACACUGAGGCACGAAAGCCAGGGGAGCAAACAGG